rnacentral:lncRNA from 1 species
UAUGACUUCCAAGUAGGCUUUAACCUACUUUCUUUGUUUAAAUAAGUAAUUAUUUAAUUUAAUUAUUUUUAGUCUCAUGAGUUCCAGUAUCAUCAGUUCAGAAGCCUUUACUCCUAUAAAGAAGAUGGGGAUUCAUGCUCUAACACUUUGGAAGGGAGGUGCAGACCACAUGCACUCACAUGCUGUCCCAAAGGACAGCACUCUCGUGAAGAAAACCUUGUGAAGAAAACCUUGUGAAGAGCUUUUGCCCUUUAACUAGAAAAAUGUGCCAAGACUGGAGCAGUAGCCCAGCACCCUGCAUCAUAGGUAAAUGUGGGAACAAUAUUAGAGAAUGUUACACUAGUUCGUUAAAGACAA